ACCAGUGGAGCUGCGUCUUUGGGAAGUUCCUUCAGGAAAAAAAUAAGACCCCUUCAUUUGUCUAUGUUCCCUUAACUCUUUUCAGCUUUGAUGAACAGGACCACCUCAGGAAAAAGAAGUGCCCACCCCCAGGUGAAUUUACAUCCUGUUCUUCCUGAACCAGAUUUUUACCAUGGAUUCCUUGACCCACUCUGUUUCUAAAAACGGACUCCAAACUGCUGCCCACUGCACAUCACCCCCUCUCAGCUCAAAGCAGCAAGAACAGUCAUCGCCCUUUUCCUUUACAGCAGUAGGAGGUCCCUAACAUUAGAGAAAAAAAAAUUAUGGUCAUUAUAGAUAUUUGCCAAUAUGUCUAGCUCAGGAAGAUGUACCUGGGGAACUACUCCCAAGAUCACAUUGGGUGAUCUCCCAGAAAGAGACACUUGCUUCCACAACCCAACUUAUAAGUGAGACAACUCCCUGUUCACCAAAAAUUGUGCUUCCUGGGUCUCACUUCAAACUCCUUGCCUGAAUCUCCAAACUAUCAAUAACUCUGAACUAUGUAACCUACUAUUUUGAUGGAGUAAAAGGAAAAGAACACCUGGACUUAUUAAAAGGCCAGGGCCCACUGAUUUAUCAACAUAGAUGGGCUAUCCACAUUUUAGUUCCCCUCUGACUGGUUUGGGAAUAGCUAGAUCUACUGCUUUAGGAACUGCAGCUCUUAUCACAGGCUCUAAAAAAAAAUCAAGUCCCUUAGCCAUCAAAUAGAUAUAGAUUUAGGAGAACUAGAAAGGUCAAUCUCCAAACUAGAGGUUUCACUAGACUCUGUGACAGAAAUAGUCUUACAAAACAGAUGAGGUCUAGAUCAUCUCUUUCUAAAACAAGGAGGACUUUGUAUGGCUCUAGGAGAAACUUGCUGUUUCUAUGCAGCUGGGAUAAUAAAGGACAGUUUGGCACUAGUGAGAAACAGGUUAAAGGAUAGAGAGAAAGUGCAAGAAACUUCAGGCAAUUGGUUCCAAAAUCUAUUCUCAUGGUCCCCUUGGUUGACUACCAUCAUUUCAGCCAUAGUUGGGCCCCUAGUCCUUCUCCUGAUUGGGAUUACUGUAGGACCCUGCCUCUUAAAAACCCUCUUAAACCAUACACACAAUAAUGUAGGUGAGGUCUGACUUAUGGUCUUGCGAGCCCAGAGUGGUCCCUUAGAGAAGGAUGGAAAAGAAACUGAGGCCUAAUGAUAUGCAAGAUUGACAUCAAACCUACUAAAACCAGUGGGGAAUGUGAUAGUAAAAGCAAAUGUGACUCCAUUUUGUUUUUAUAAGUGGGACAACUCUGUAAAACAACCAUGCUAUUCUGUAAAACAACCAUGCCAAGUACAAGGGUCAUGACUGGGGCAAGAUGUUCUUUUCCUUUUGCUAUAGAAACCUUUAAGAACACAGAACUACCUAGUGGGACAUUGUUUCUGUAACUAGGGUAACGGGGCUCUGUUUCUGUAACUGGGGUGACUGGGCUAACUGUGAUUGGUUAGGCUUCCCUCCGUUUGACUGCACUCUCCUGCUUCUGUAACCUGGCUUGCUUGCAUUGGCUAGAUCCCGGAACAUCCCUUUUGAGGUUUUCAGGCUUAUAAGGAGUGCCCUUGCAAUUGUUUGGGGCUGAUCAGGGGAACAGCUUUAUGUUCUGGUCAGUCACCACUGGUGUGCUUCAAUAAAGGCUUGAUUCGAUUAAA